rnacentral:rRNA from 1 species
UACGGAGGGUGCGAGCGUUGUCCGGAAUCACUGGGCGUAAAGGGCGCGUAGGCGGCAUGCCAAGCGUGUGGUGAAAGCCCGGGGCUCAACCCCGGGUCGGCCGUGCGGACUGGCGUGCUCGAGCACUGUAGGGGCGGGUGGAAUUCCGGGUGUAGCGGUGGAAUGCGUAGAGAUCCGGAGGAACACCAGUGGCGCAGGCGGCUCUCUGGGUCGGCCCUGACGCUGAGGCGCGAAAGCGUGGGGAGCGAACGGG